UAAUUUGAUAUUUAGAGUCAAAAACGAAUCUAACAAUAAAAAUUGUAAGUACAAUUCUAAUUAAAAGAUGAUGUGUAAAAAAUAAAAGCUGAAUCAAAUUAAUGAAAUGAUUUGAUUGGAAGAUAGAAAGCUGAUGUGUCAGCUCCAGAAUAGCCUAAAAUGCUGACGUGGCGGAAGGAUGGAGAGAGUUGGCCUCCUUUCAUAUAUAUAUAUAUAUAUAUAUAUAUAUAUAUAUAUAUAUAUAUAUGAUUUUUUUGCAUCAACUAGAUAGCAUUAUACAUUAGUAUGGAUAGAAAUAUAAAAUUCUUUUAAUUUUAUUGUAUUUAUGCUUAAGCUUUUCUAGUUUUGUUAUGUUCUUUUUGUUUGAUAUAUUUAUUUAUAUAUAUAAAUAUAAUGUAAGACAUAUAAUGUAAGGCAUACAAAAAAUAUUUAUUUUUAUAUAUAUUUUUAUUUUUUUCAGAACCAACAUUAUGUUUAACGUCCAAAUAAUAACGUCGGUUGUUGAAAAAUUAUUCACGUUGAUUAUAUAACUGACGCUAUGUUUAUUGUCCGUUUAUUAUUUAUUUUGUUAUUUAUGGUCAUUUUGUUUAAUAAAAAGAAAUAUUAUAAUAAAAACUUUUCUUUUUUUGAUUCUGGACCCCGAGAGUUAUUUCUUUCAAUCUCUUAACUAUAAAUUUUUAAGAAACAGUUGACCAAUAUCAAAUCUUCAAUUAAUUAAACAAGUAGUUCUACAUGAACAUAAAUAUCUUAGAAAAGUUCUACAUACACAUAAAUAUUUUAGAAAAAACGGUCAAAUCCAUGAUAUAUCAUCUAGCAUGCUAAUCUUAUAGCAGUCUGAAAAAAUAAAGACUUCGAGGAGAAGGUACAACAUAUGCAUAUUGUUGACCGUGCAAGAUUCAAAUGUUAACAUAAGAACAGAACAACAAUGAACCAUAUAGAGGAAAAGUCCAAUUUAUAUGUAAAUGCAAAACCUUUACUAAGGCUCACAAAACAGCUAAAGCAUCAAAAACUUCCCGUGGACAAAACGUAGAGAAAGCCAUAACAUCAAAAUUGUUUCAUACUUUCAUUUGUAUGUUAUUUCUCUAUAAAGGAACUCAAUUCCACUGCUAAGUCAAGAUUUUAUGUAAAACAAGACUAAUUUCCAUAAAUUUUAUUUUCUAACAUUAGUGAUUCAAUAGCAUGACGAGAAAUGAACAGAUCCAAAUCCAAAACAACCAUGGGAAAUGUGAAUUAUUCAUCUUUCGACAUUGAAAUUGGAAAAAAAAUCACUAAAGAUUGAAUCAAAUCCUUUGUUUUAAAUCAAAAGACUUAGAGCAUCUCAAAUGCCUACUUCUAUUUUAGAGCACCUUUAUUUUGGAGGUGAUUUACGAAAUCGAUUUCAGAGCAAUCGACGAUGCAAGUUACGAAAGUUUCCAGUGUUCUCCAAUAUCGAAAUUUCAGUUUCCAGUGUACUCUCAUAUCUUUUUUGUAUGCCUUACAUUAUAUUUAUAUAUAAAUAAA
rnacentral:lncRNA from 1 species